rnacentral:rRNA from 1 species
GUGCCAGCAGCCGCGGUAAUACGUAGGUGGCAAGCGUUGUCCGGAUUUAUUGGGCGUAAAGCGAGCGCAGGCGGUUUUUUAAGUCUGAUGUGAAAGCCUUCGGCUCAACCGAAGAAGUGCAUCGGAAACUGGGAAACUUGAGUGCAGAAGAGGACAGUGGAACUCCAUGUGUAGCGGUGAAAUGCGUAGAUAUAUGGAAGAACACCAGUGGCGAAGGCGGCUGUCUGGUCUGUAACUGACGCUGAGGCUCGAAAGUAUGGGUAGCAAACAGGAUUAGAUACCCUGGUAGUCCAUACCGUAAACGAUGAAUGCUAAGUGUUGGAGGGUUUCCGCCCUUCAGUGCUGCAGCUAACGCAUUAAGCAUUCCGCCUGGGGAGUACGGCCGCAAGGCUGAAACUCAAAGGAAUUGACGGGGGCCCGCGCAAGCGGUGGAGCAUGUGGUUUAAUUCGAAGCUACGCGAAGAACCUUACCAGGUCUUGACAUACUAUGCAAAUCUAAGAGAUUAGACGUUCCCUUCGGGGACAUGGAUACAGGUGGUACAUGGUUGUCGUCAGCUCGUGUCGUGAGAUGUUGGGUUAAGUCCCGCAACGAGCGCAACCCUUAUUAUCAGUUGCCAGCAUUAAGUUGGGCACUCUGGUGAGACUGCCGGUGACAAACCGGAGGAAGGUGGGGAUGACGUCAAAUCAUCAUGCCCCUUAUGACCUGGGCUACACACGUGCUACAAUGGAUGGUACAACGAGUUGCGAACUCGCGAGAGUAAGCUAAUCUCUUAAAGCCAUUCUCAGUUCGGAUUGUAGGCUGCAACUCGCCUACAUGAAGUCGGAAUCGCUAGUAAUCGCGGAUCAGCAUGCCGCGGUGAAUACGUUCCCGGGCCUUGUACACACCGCCCGU